GAGAAGAAACUUUAUUUUGAAACUUUUACUUUGUGCGGUUGAUAGUUGCACACUGUUCUGAGCGCGGACUCGUCAUCCUUAAAAAGAUGUUUCCUACGCCUGCAGAUUUAAACAAUUAAUCCACGGCGUGGCUCACGUAUGCUAAGCGCAGAUCAAUCGAAUGAGUCCCGAAUUAUUCAUUUCUGGCAAGUCUCCUGUCUUCCUUCACUUCUUUACGACCUGAAAUGUUAAGAAAAUGCUGGAACUACUGAGCAGAUCUUGCAAUAUCUGUGAAUCCCAGUGCCCUCAUCACAAAUGGAACUUCCUGCAGUGGAAUAUGAGUUGAGACCACCCUGGUCUCCAUUGUGGAGAGAUGCUGAUAACGCAAUUGGUUAUUUUGAAGACCCUGACCUGGAGCUACACACUUUGAAGGAAUGGGACCCGCUCUCAGGGUUUCAUAACCGACCGUUGUUGUUCAGCACACCAAGGGCUCGGCCCGAGAGUCUGGCUUGGGUUUGGAAGCCUAGGAUCUCAGGGCUCUGGAGACGGGUGGAUGGAGGCUCAGUGUCACGGCAGGAGACCCGUGUGUCACGAUAUCUGCUUGUUGUGUGCCCAAAGACCCGAGAUCUUUGAGCUCUUCUGGCACAGAGCUUGAAAAAAGUGAAGUAAAUGGACUUUUAACAUUGUAAACCAGCGAGUUAUUUGUUAUGUCUCCCACUCACCGGGAAAACAGAGACACCUCCUUCUCCUUAUAAGGAAGGGAGAGAGAGAGAGAGCCUGUGGUAUGUUGUAUAUCGGGUGAAACGCAAAGUCUUUGGGGUAACUGCAAGUCUGUCUCUUUGCUGUUACUUUGCUCACACCUGAGCAUUUGGCAGCAGUACCAUUGUUUUUUUUACCAGUGGGGUAAGGGAGGAGUGUUGCUUGGUGCCACUUAAGCACAGGAGGGAGGGGAGCUGGGGGGGACUUCGGGGUUUUAACAUCUGUCGUUCAUUCUUUGGGGCACUUCUCUGUUUUUGUGGAUGGUUGCAAAGAAAAAGCAUUUCAGGAUGUACACUAUAUACAUUUCUCUGACACUAAACUGGACCUUUGAGCCUUUGAGAUGGUCGUGGACUUCAAUACCAAUCACACCCUUCUUUAUAUCAGCGGCACAAAAGAUAUUGGAAUAAAUCACUUCCUGGGGAGCGAGCUCAGAAAUAUUACCUGUUUCUUUAUCAAGCUAUUUGAAAGAGAAAAAUAAAACUAAAUAGUCUAAAAUAUUUAUUUAAUUGUAGAAAGCCUAUCUUAUAUCUAACAUGAUUAAUAAAAUUUAGA